rnacentral:rRNA from 1 species
UACGGAGGGUGCGAGCGUUGUCCGGAAUCAUUGGGCGGUAAAGGGCGCGUAGGUGGCCCGGUCAGUCCGUGGUGAAAGCGCGGGCUCAACCCCGCGUCGGCCAUGGAUACUGCUGGGCUUGAGCACUGUAGAGGCAGGCGGAAUUCCGGGUGUAGCGGUGGAAUGCGUAGAGAUCCGGAAGAACACCGGUGGCGAAGGCGGCCUGCUGGGCAGUGGCUGACACUGAGGCGCGACAGCG